rnacentral:rRNA from 1 species
AAGGCUGAAAUUCGCCUUCAUGAAGCCGGAAUUGCUAGUAAUGGCAGGUCAGCAUACUGCCGUGAAUACGUUCCCGGGCCUUGUACACACCGCCCGUCACACCAUGAGAGUUGGGAAUACCCGAAGCCUGUGAGCUAACGUUAAGAGGCAGCAGUCGAAGGUAGAAUCAAUGAUUGGGGGUGAAGUCGUAACAAGGUACC